rnacentral:rRNA from 1 species
GUGGGUGGGAUGAGUAUUCUAAGGCGCGUGGAAGAACUCUCUUUAAGGAACUCUGCAAAAUAGCACCGUAUCUUCGGUAUAAGGUGUGGUUCGCUUCGUAUUAGGAUUUACUCCGAAAGCGAAGAAACUUACAACAAAGAGUCCCUCCCGACUGUUUACCAAAAACACAGCACUCUGCUAACUCGUAAGAGGAUGUAUAGGGUGUGACGCCUGCCCGGUGCUCGAAGGUUAAUUGAUGGGGUUAGCAUUAGCGAAGCUCUUGAUCGAAGCCCGAGUAAACGGCGGCCGUAACUAUAACGGUCCUAAGGUAGCGAAAUUCCUUGUCGGUUAAAUACCGACCUGCAUGAAUGGCGUAACGAGAUGGGAGCUGUCUCAAAGAGGGAUCCAGUGAAAUUGUAGUGGAGGUGAAAAUUCCUCCUACCCGCGGCAAGACGGAAAGACCCCGUGGACCUUUACUACAGCUUGACACUGCUAUUUGGAUAAGAAUGUGCAGGAUAGGUGGGAGGCUUUGAGUAUAUGACGCCAGUUGUAUAUGAGCCAUUGUUGAGAUACCACUCUUUCUUAUUUGGGUAGCUAACCAGCUUGAGUUAUCCUCAAGUGGGACAAUGUCUGGUGGGUAGUUUGACUGGGGCGGUCGCCUCCCAAAUAAUAACGGAGGCUUACAAAGGUUGGCUCAGAACGGUUGGAAAUCGUUCGUAGAGUAUAAAGGUAUAAGCCAGCUUAACUGCAAGACAUACAAGUCAAGCAGAGACGAAAGUCGGUCUUAGUGAUCCGGUGGUUCUGUGUGGAAGGGCCAUCGCUCAAAGGAUAAAAGGUACCCCGGGGAUAACAGGCUGAUCUCCCCCAAGAGCUCACAUCGACGGGGAGGUUUGGCACCUCGAUGUCGGCUCAUCGCAUCCUGGGGCUGGAGCAGGUCCCAAGGGUAUGGCUGUUCGCCAUUUAAAGCGGUACGCGAGCUGGGUUCAGAACGUCGUGAGACAGUUCGGUCCCUAUCUGCCGUGGGCGUAAGAAGAUUGAAGAGAUUUGACCCUAGUACGAGAGGACCGGGUUGAACAAACCACUGGUGUAGCUGUUGUUCUGCCAAGAGCAUCGCAGCGUAGCUAAGUUUGGAAAGGAUAAACGCUGAAAGCAUCUAAGCGUGAAGCCAACUCUAAGAUGAAUCUUCUCUAAGCUCUCUAGAAGACUACUAGUUUGAUAGGCUGGGUGUGUAAUGGAUGAAAGUCCUUUAGCUGACCAGUACUAAUAGAGCGUUUGGCUUAUCUUUAAUAAAGCAU